rnacentral:rRNA from 1 species
GACGAACGCUGGCGGCGUGCCUAACACAUGCAAGUCGAACGAGAAUCAUUUAAACAGAGGCUUCGGCCGACGGGAAGAUGAGGAAAGUGGCGAACGGGUGAGUAACGCGUGAGGAACCUGCCUUCCAGUGGGGGACAACAGUUGGAAACGACUGCUAAUACCGCAUAAUGUAGUUGUACCGCAUGGUACUGACUACCAAAGAUUUAUUGCUCUGAGAUGGACUCGCGGCCGAUUAGCUAGUUGGUGAGGUAACGGCUCACCAAGGCGACGAUCGGUAGCCGGACUGAGAGGUUGACCGGCACAUUGGGACUGAGAUACGGCCCAGACUCCUACGGGAGACAGCAGUUAGGAUAUUGGGCAAAUGGGGGAAACCCUGACCCAGCAACGCCGCGUGAGGGAAGAAGGUUUUCGGGA